CGGCGCCGAAGGGGCAGGGCAGAUCACCAGCGCAUCGCAUUCCAAUCCCAUUUCCCCCUUGAGCAAAGGAGGAGGCAGGCAGCCAGAGCGAGAGCAUCACCAUGUCGGGCAUCAUCCACAAGAUCGAGGAGACCCUCCACAUGGGGGGCGACCACAAGAAGGAGGAGGAGCACAAGAAGGCGGAGGCGCACAAGAAGGCCGAGGAGCACCACAAGAAGGACGGCGAGCACAAGGAGGGCAUCGUCGAGAAGAUCAAGGACAAGAUCACCGGCGAGCACGGCGACAAGUCCGGCGAGCACAAGGACGACAAGGACCACAAGGAGAAGAAGGACAAGAAGAAGAAGAAGGAGAAGAAGCACGGCGAGGGCCACCACGACGGCCGCAGCAGCAGCAGCGACAGCGACUGAUCGCCUCGCGGCGCGCCGUGCUUGCCGGUAAAUAUCCAUUAAUUACCCGCGGUGAAAAAGGUGCUUGGAGAGGACUAUCUACCGGAAGCUGUGUGAUGUAAUAUGUUUCACGAGUGCCAUACGUGUGUGUGCUAAUCAAGGGAGAAAUGAAAAAAAAAACCUUUCAUGUUGAUCAAUGUACUCCUAAUGAUGGCUCCACGGUGCUAGCUUGUAAUAAUAAAAUGUUAAUGCAGAAAUUGGUCUGCUAGAUUGUGUCUUUGACAUGUA